AUUGAACGCUGGCGGCAUGCUUUACACAUGCAAGUCGAACGGUAACAGGCCUUCGGGUGCUGACGAGUGGCGAACGGGUGAGUAAUGCAUCGGAACGUACCCAGAGGUGGGGGAUAACGCAGCGAAAGCUGUGCUAAUACCGCAUGUGAUCUGAGGAUGAAAGCGGGGGACCGAGCUGCAAUGUUUGGCCUCGCGCCUUUGUAGCGGCCGAUGUCGGAUUAGCUAGUUGGUGGGGUAAAGGCCUACCAAGGCGACGAUCCGUAGCUGGUCUGAGAGGACGACCAGCCACACUGGGACUGAGACACGGCCCAGACUCCUACGGGAGGCAGCAGUGGGGAAUUUUGGACAAUGGGCGCAAGCCUGAUCCAGCAAUGCCGCGUGCGGGAAGAAGGCCUUCGGGUUGUAAACCGCUUUUGGCAGGAACGAAACGGUGUCCGCUAAUACCGGGCGCUAAUGACGGUACCUGCAGAAUAAGCACCGGCUAACUACGUG
rnacentral:rRNA from 1 species